AUGCAAGUCGAACGGUAACAGGAAGCAGCUUGCUGCUUCGCUGACGAGUGGCGGACGGGUGAGUAAUGUCUGGGAAACUGCCUGAUGGAGGGGGAUAACUACUGGAAACGGUAGCUAAUACCGCAUAACGUCGCAAGACCAAAGAGGGGGACCUUAGGGCCUCUUGCCAUCGGAUGUGCCCAGAUGGGAUUAGCUAGUAGGUGGGGUAACGGCUCACCUAGGCGACGAUCCCUAGCUGGUCUGAGAGGAUGACCAGCCACACUGGAACUGAGACACGGUCCAGACUCCUACGGGAGGCAGCAGUGGGGAAUAUUGCACAAUGGGCGCAAGCCUGAUGCAGCCAUGCCGCGUGUAUGAAGAAGGCCUUCGGGUUGUAAAGUACUUUCAGCGGGGAGGAAGGGAGUAAAGUUAAUACCUUUGCUCAUUGACGUUACCCGCAGAAGAAGCACCGGCUAACUCCGUGCCAGCAGCCGCGGUAAUACGGAGGGUGCAAGCGUUAAUCGGAAUUACUGGGCGUAAAGCGCACGCAGGCGGUUUGUUAAGUCAGAUGUGAAAUCCCCGGGCUCAACCUGGGAACUGCAUCUGAUACUGGCAAGCUUGAGUC
rnacentral:rRNA from 1 species